rnacentral:rRNA from 1 species
AACGCUAGCUACAGGCUUAACACAUGCAAGUCGAGGGGCAGCAUGGUCUUAGCUUGCUAAGGCCGAUGGCGACCGGCGCACGGGUGAGUAACACGUAUCCAACCUGCCGUCUACUCUUGGACAGCCUUCUGAAAGGAAGAUUAAUACAAGAUGGCAUCAUGAGUCCGCAUGUUCACAUGAUUAAAGGUAUUCCGGUAGACGAUGGGGAUGCGUUCCAUUAGAUAGUAGGCGGGGUAACGGCCCACCUAGUCUUCGAUGGAUAGGGGUUCUGAGAGGAAGGUCCCCCACAUUGGAACUGAGACACGGUCCAAACUCCUACGGGAGGCAGCAGUGAGGAAUAUUGGUCAAUGGGCGAGAGCCUGAACCAGCCAAGUAGCGUGAAGGAUGACUGCCCUAUGGGUUGUAAACUUCUUUUAUAAAGGAAUAAAGUCGGGUAUGGAUACCCGUUUGCAUGUACUUUAUGAAUAAGGAUCGGCUAACUCCGUGCCAGCAGCCGCGGUAAUACGGAGGAUCCGAGCGUUAUCCGGAUUUAUUGGGUUUAAAGGGAGCGUAGAUGGAUGUUUAAGUCAGUUGUGAAAGUUUGCGGCUCAACCGUAAAAUUGCAGUUGAUACUGGAUAUCUUGAGUGCAGUUGAGGCAGGCGGAAUUCGUGGUGUAGCGGUGAAAUGCUUAGAUAUCACGAAGAACUCCGAUUGCGAAGGCAGCCUGCUAAGCUGCAACUGACAUUGAGGCUCGAAAGUGUGGGUAUCAAACAGGAUUAGAUACCCUGGUAGUCCACACGGUAAACGAUGAAUACUCGCUGUUUGCGAUAUACAGCAAGCGGCCAAGCGAAAGCGUUAAGUAUUCCACCUGGGGAGUACGCCGGCAACGGUGAAACUCAAAGGAAUUGACGGGGGCCCGCACAAGCGGAGGAACAUGUGGUUUAAUUCGAUGAUACGCGAGGAACCUUACCCGGGCUUAAAUUGCAGAUGAAUUACGGUGAAAGCCGUAAGCCGCAAGGCAUCUGUGAAGGUGCUGCAUGGUUGUCGUCAGCUCGUGCCGUGAGGUGUCGGCUUAAGUGCCAUAACGAGCGCAACCCUUGUUGUCAGUUACUAACAGGUUCCGCUGAGGACUCUGACAAGACUGCCAUCGUAAGAUGUGAGGAAGGUGGGGAUGACGUCAAAUCAGCACGGCCCUUACGUCCGGGGCUACACACGUGUUACAAUGGGGGGUACAGAGGGCCGCUACCACGCGAGUGGAUGCCAAUCCCCAAAACCUCUCUCAGUUCGGACUGGAGUCUGCAACCCGACUCCACGAAGCUGGAUUCGCUAGUAAUCGCGCAUCAGCCACGGCGCGGUGAAUACGUUCCCGGGCCUUGUACACACCGCCCGUCAAGCCAUGGGAGCCGGGGGUACCUGAAGUGCGUAACCGCGAGGAGCGCCCUAGGGUAAAACUGGUGACUGGGGCUAA